GGGGGUUGUGAAGAGUUUUUGCAAGGAAAAUUAAACUAAUUUACAACUGGAAAUUAAAUAAAGAUGUAAGCAAAACUGAAAGCAUUGAAUUAAAUGUGGAAAACAUGAAGACCGAAUGGUUCUUCACAAGGCCGAACGGUCAAGGCCGAACGGUUCUGUUCAUAAGACCGAACGGUCCUAGUGAGGAGACCGAACAGUAAAUUAAGCAUUGAG
rnacentral:lncRNA from 1 species